GACGAACGCUGGCGGCGUGCUUAACACAUGCAAGUCGAACGGAAAGGCCCUGCUUUUGUGGGGUGCUCGAGUGGCGAACGGGUGAGUAACACGUGAGUAACCUGCCCUUGACUUUGGGAUAACUUCAGGAAACUGGGGCUAAUACCGGAUAGGAGCUCCUGCUGCAUGGUGGGGGUUGGAAAGUUUCGGCGGUUGGGGAUGGACUCGCGGCUUAUCAGCUUGUUGGUGGGGUAGUGGCUUACCAAGGGUUUGACGGGUAGCCGGCCUGAGAGGGUGAACGGCCACAUUGGGACUGAGAUACGGCCCAGACUCCUACGGGAGGCAGCAGUGGGGAAUAUUGCACAAUGGGCGGAAGCCUGAUGCAGCAACGCCGCGUGCGGGAUGACGGCCUUCGGGUUGUAAACCGCUUUCGCCUGUGACGAAGCGUGAGUGACGGUAAUGGGUAAAGAAGCACCGGCUAACUACGUG
rnacentral:rRNA from 1 species